rnacentral:rRNA from 1 species
CACUGCCGAGAAAAGCCUCUAGAUAGAAAAUAGGUGCCCGUACCGCAAACCGACACAGGUAGUCAAGAUGAGAAUUCUAAGGUGAGCGAGCGAACUCUCGUUAAGGAACUCGGCAAAAUGACCCCGUAACUUCGGGAGAAGGGGUGCUCUUUAGGGUUAACGCCCAGAAGAGCCGCAGUGAAUAGGCCCAAGCGACUGUUUAUCAAAAACACAGGUCUCUGCUAAACCGUAAGGUGAUGUAUAGGGGCUGACGCCUGCCCGGUGCUGGAAGGUUAAGAGGAGUGGUUAGCUUCUGCGAAGCUACGAAUCGAAGCCCCAGUAAACGGCGGCCGUAACUAUAACGGUCCUAAGGUAGCGAAAUUCCUUGUCGGGUAAGUUCCGACCCGCACGAAAGGCGUAACGAUUUGGGCACUGUCUCAACGAGAGACUCGGUGAAAUCAUAGUACCUGUGAAGAUGCAGGUUACCCGCGACAGGACGGAAAGACCCCGUGGAGCUUUACUGUAGCCUGAUAUUGAAAUUCGGCACAGCUUGUACAGGAUAGGUAGGAGCCUUUGAAACGUGAGCGCUAGCUUACGUGGAGGCGCUGGUGGGAUACUACCCUAGCUGUGUUGGCUUUCUAAC